AGAGUUUGAUCCUGGCUCAGGAUGAACGCUAGCGGCAGGCCUAACACAUGCAAGUCGAGGGGCAGCGCGGUGCAGCAAUGCGCUGGCGGCGACCGGCGUACGGGUGCGUAACGCGUAUGCAACCUGCCCCGCACCGGGGGAUAGCCCGCCGAAAGGCGGAUUAAUACCCCAUGGCCCCGGGGGCCCGCAUGGGCAUCCGGGUAAAGCUCCGGCGGUGCGGGAUGGGCAUGCGUGCCAUUAGCUGGCUGGUGGGGUAACGGCCCACCAGGGCAACGAUGGCUAGGGGGUCUGAGAGGAUGGUCCCCCACACUGGUACUGAGACACGGACCAGACUCCUACGGGAGGCAGCAGUGAGGAAUAUUGGUCAAUGGGCGGAAGCCUGAACCAGCCAUGCCGCGUGCGGGAUGAAGGCCCUACGGGUUGUAAACCGCUUUUCCCCGGGAAGAAUAAGCCCCCCGCGGGGGGUGAUGCCGGUACCGGGGGAAUAAGGAUCGGCUAACUCCGUGCCAGCAGCCGCGGUAAUACGGAGGGAUCCGAGCGGUUUAUCCGGGAUUUACUGGGUUUAAAGGGUGCGUAGGCGGCCCUGCAAGUCAGCGGUGGAAUGUGGCGGCUCAACCGUUUCGCUGCCGCUGAUACUGUGGGGCUUGGAUGCGGUCGAGGCGGGUGGAAUUCGUGGUGUAGCGGUGAAAUGCAUAGAUAUCACGAGGAACGCCGAUAGCGAAGGCAGCUCGCCGGGCCGCGAUCGACGCUGAGGCACGAAAGCGUGGGGAUCAAACAGGAUUAGAUACCCUGGUAGUCCACGCCGUAAACGAUGAUGGCUGGGUGUGCGCCCGCGAGGGCGCGUGCCUGAGGGAAACCAUUAAGCCAUCCACCUGGGGAGUACGGCCGCAAGGCUGAAACUCAAAGGAAUUGACGGGGGCCCGCACAAGCGGAGGAACAUGUGGUUUAAUUCGAUGAUACGCGAGGAACCUUACCUGGGCUCGAACGCUUCUGGAAUCACGCCGAAAGGCGUGAGCCGGCAACGGCCGGGAGCGAGGUGCUGCAUGGUUGUCGUCAGCUCGUGCCGUGAGGUGUCGGGUUAAGUCCCAUAACGAGCGCAACCCCUACCGCCAGUUGCCAGCGGGUGAAGCCGGGGACUCUGGCGGGACUGCCGGCGUAAGCCGAGAGGAAG
rnacentral:rRNA from 1 species